GGGCGGGUGGCGAAAUGGCAGACGCGCAUGGUUUAGGACCAUGUUCCGUAAGGAGUGGAGGUUCAAGUCCUCUCCCGCCCA
rnacentral:tRNA from 1 species